UUUUCAUUAUUAUACUUCGCAAGAGUCAGCAGUAACAGGAUGCAGUGUAUCUUACUUUGCGAUUUGCUUAUGUAGUCAUAUGAAACUUAAUUUACACGUACCCUUCCAUAAAUUACUUGCUAAAAAAAUGAAGAAAAAUCGUUUUAUCCUCCUUUUAUAUUAUCAUGAUGAUAAGUGGUUACAUCUCAUAUUAUAUCACCAUGAACAUGAAAUUAAGGAUGCUUAGAAUAAUAAGAUUUGCGGCACAUCUAGAUUUUAUUCUUCUUCAAAUUGAUGCGGAUGAGCUAUUGACAAAAGACCGAGAUCAGAUUUGUAAUAAAACUUUAAGUUUGAUAUUGUCUACUUGGGUCAAGUAGGAUAAACGGUACUGUAGUUCUUUCGGAAGAAUAGAACCGUGAUAUCUUUUCG
rnacentral:lncRNA from 1 species